rnacentral:rRNA from 1 species
UACGUAGGGAGCAAGCGUUGUCCGGAGUCAUUGGGCGUAAAGCGCGCGUAGGUGGCUUCGUAAGUCCGUUGUGAAAGUCAAAGGCUCAACCUUUGAAAGCCGAUGGAUACUGUGAAGCUAGAGUACGGAAGAGGCGAGUGGAAUUCCUGGUGUAGCGGUGGAAUGCGCAGAUAUCAGGAGGAACACCAAUAGCGAAGGCAGCUCGCUGGGACGUUACUGACACUGAGGCGCGAAAGCGUGGGGAGCGAACAGG